rnacentral:misc_RNA from 1 species
GAUGAAGAACGCAGCGAAAUGCGAUAAGUAGUGUGAAUUGCAGAAUUCAGUGAAUCAUCGAAUCUUUGAACGCACAUUGCGGCCAUAGGUAUUCUAGUGGGCAUGCCUGUUCGAGCGUCAUUAAGUCCACUUAAGCCCUGCUUAGUGUUGGGAGACUGCUCCAGCGGUGCUACCCUGUAGCUACCCUGCAGCUCCUCAAAGACAGCGGCGGAGUUGUGGUAUCCUCUGAGCUUAGUAACUUGUUCUAGCUUUCGAGUACACCACUUCCCCUGCCGUAAAACCCUUAAUUUUUAAUGGUUGACCUCGGAUCAGGUAGGAAUACCCGCUGAACUUAAGCAUAUCAAUAAGCGGAGGA